UACGGGGGGGGCAAGCGUUGUUCGGAAUUACUGGGCGUAAAGGGCUCGUAGGCGGCCAACUAAGUCAGACGUGAAAUCCCCAGGCUCAACCUGGGAACUGCGUCUGAUACUGGAUGGCUUGAAUCCGGGAGAGGGAUGCAGAAUUCCAGGUGUAGCGGUGAAAUGCGUAGAUAUCUGGAGGAAUACCGGUGGCGAAGGCGGGUUGCUGGGCUGACACUGACGCUGAUGCGCGAAAGCCAGGGGAGCGAACGGG
rnacentral:rRNA from 1 species